AACCUCCUCUCCAAAAAACAGUGAUUAAAAUUGAAGGAAAAUAUGACAUAGUAAUCAAGGAUGAUGACCUGGAAGGCUACGUUACAAUCCCUGGCGAGCCCACGGACGUGCAUGCGUCUGAGAUUUUCAAAUCGUACGUGGUGCUGAGCUGGACGCCUCCCAGCCCUCGGGGACGGGCUCCGCUCUGGUACAUCAUUGAAAAGUGCUUAGCAGGCACUGGAGCGUGGCAGAGGAUCAACACAGCCGUCAAACUGCAUUCACCCCGUUACCCGCUAUUUGAUUUGCAAGACGGGCAAAAGUACCAGUUCCGAGUCUAUUCUGUCAACAUAUAUGGUUCCAGCGAGGCCUCAGCGCCUUCAGAGCCCAUCCAAAAGGUGGAUGAGGAUGGUACUGAGCUGCCAGUUGGUACGUAUGACUGAAAUCAUAAAGCACUCUCUGAGGGCACUCCUUCACACAUGGAACUUAUGUUUUCUGUUUCUGAAUAAGCACAACGUUGCACUUGUAUUUUCUGUCACAAUGUAUGACCACUCUGUACUUAAGCCAAUACUUCACAUCCUACACUGAUGAGUCGGUCUUCUACUGUGUGUUUGUUUGAGCAAAGACUGACCACUGAAGCUAUAGGAGAUGCUUCAAAAACAAAAUCACUUUAGUUUCACAUCAGAAACGUGCACCGUUUGGGUUUUACUAAAAGUACAAUCAACACAAACUGUAAAAGGUGAUUUUUCUUUGUUGAUUAAAUCUAAGAAAUAGUAUUCAACAGACAAUGUCAUAUCCCAUAUCUUAGAUAACCUAAGGAUUUUUCUGAAUAUGAUUUAAAUUCCAUCAGUGACAUUUUUGUGGAUUGUUUAAUACGAAUUUCAGUUUGACGGGAAAAUGUUUGAAUUUGACAAAACAAUAACUUUUUGAUUUGUCUGUAAGGAGAUUUAAACGGUAUCUACCACAUAAAUGCUUAAC